CUGAACCUUGAUAACUUACUUCUGAGUUACAAUGAAAAUUAUAGUGACAUUGGUGAUUUGGUAGCUCCUGAGGUAGAUUUGGUUCGUACUGAGUUUCCAUGUGGUAGUAUUGAGGAUUUUUUUGUACUGCGAGGGAUUGUUGUUGUGCAAGUUGGGUAAGCCGGAGUGGUUGUAUCUGGUUAACCCGGCUACUGGGGAAGCCAAGAAGCUGCCCGAGGGACCAAAAUAUUUCGAUCACAAGGGGUUUGGAUUUGAUCACUCGGCUGAGGAUUAUAAGGUGGUUUGUGCAGUGUAUUCUAAGCGGUUGGACACUAUUGAUUUUAGUGUCUAUUCACUGAAAAUUGAUUCUUGGAGAGUGGUUAAAAGUCCUAUUCAGUACAAUGACGCCGAUACGACUCAUGGGGUUCUGCUGAAUGGAAGUGUUCAUUGGGUGAUGACAAAAGUUGGCAAGGAGUCAUCACCCGUGAUUGUGUCUUUCCAUUUAGCUGAGGAGGAGUUUCGAGAGAUUCCACUGCCACUUAAAGGUUCCGGUUUUAUCCCAAAUGAAUACUAUGUGUUGGGUGUCUUCAGGGAUUGCUUAUGUUUAACACGUGACGAUUUUAAAAUUCUUGAUGAGUUUUGGGUCAUGAAGAACUAUGGAAUUAGGCAGUCUUGGACUAACAUAAAGACCUCCUUCUGAUACUCUGAACUAUAUCAUACGAGUUUUUGGAAGGACAGUCAUGAUCUGUUGCUGCUCGACUAUCAGUUUGGUAUGUAUGAUUUUAACGAGAAAAGCUUUUGCAAUCUGUCAGUUCGGGAAUUUCCUGAAUUUGAAAACGCUGGGAUCUACAUGGAGAGCCUUGUUUCACCCAAUUACUAUGGCAGUCUUGAUCCAGAACAUGAAACAUGAAAGAAUUUGUUAGGAGCUCUCUUGGUCGAUGGUUCUCGUUUGUGAUAUGCUGAGAUUAGGCUUCGGCCAAAAGGUGUGGUAACGAGUGGAAUGAUUUGGAACUGUACGUGUUUGUUUACUCGGCUGUUAAUAGGACAGGCUGCACUUCGUAUAAGAAUAGAGCUUGAAGAAAUGAGCUUCAUCUUUUUGUUCGUAGAAGAAUAGAGCUUGAAGACGCAAAGCUUUUGUUAGGUUCCUGGCUGUCGACUUCCAUUACAUCUUCAUGUUUUGAACAGCCUGCUAAUAUCUAUGUGAAAUCCUGGUUGUUAGAUCAGUUUCAUUUUUGAACAGCCUGCUAAUAUCUAUGUGAAAUCCUUAAAAGUGAAUUGCAAUACAAAUCAAAAUGCAAGUUUACAGGGUUUCUAAUUGAUGCA